rnacentral:rRNA from 1 species
CCUACGGGCGGCAGCAGUGGGGAAUAUUGCGCAAUGGGGGAAACCCUGACGCAGCAACGCCGCGUGGGUGAUGAAGGCCUUCGGGUCGUAAAACCCUGUCAGACAGGAAGAAAGCCAAAUAAGUGAAUAGCUUAUUUGGUUGACGGUACUGUCAGAGGAAGCCCCGGCUAACUCCGUGCCAGCAGCCGCGGUAAUACGGAGGGGGCUAGCGUUGUUCGGAUUUAUUGGGCGUAAAGAGCACGUAGGUGGUUGGGUAAGUCAGACGUAAAAUCCCCGGGCGCAACCAGGAAAGGGCAUCUGAAACUGCUUGACUUGAGUGCGGUAGAGGAGAGUGGAAUUCCCGGUGGAGGGGUGAAAUGCGUAGAUAUCGGGAAGAACACCGUGGGCGAAGGCGGCUCUCUGGACCGCAACUGACACUGAGGUGCGAAAGCUAGGGGAGCAAACGGGAUUAGAUCCCCUGGUAGU